CAGGCUGUGGGCCGGAGGAGCGAGCGGAGAGAAGGGAUGAGAGUGAGAAUAGCCGGUGUGGAACGCUUGAAGAAAUCGGUCCAUCAGUCGGGCUCGUGACGGUGAAUCCCGUUGUGUGACAAGCAGCGCGUGAAGGGAAAUGUUAUUCCGCUCCGGGCCUCUUCUGAAGUGAAGCUGAAAGAAGCGCCUGCGGUUAAUGAGGAUGUGGUAGCGCAGUAUAAGACACGUCCUCUCAGUGUACGUCCCAGCUUAAACACACCACAUGAUCGUGUGUAGCAUACGCCCGUGGACACUGGACUCAUUCUGUCGUUGUCCCGUGUCAUCACGUCCCUCCUCGCUGCCAGCCGACUCCCCCCCCUGUCCCUGUCCCUGUCCCCCCUGCUUGUCUGCCUGUCUGUCCCCCCACCCCCCCUCUUCCUGUCAGCUCAGCUCACGGUCACAGUCCUGCUGGCCUCGGUGAACAUUCAACGCUGUCGGUGAGUUUUGGUAUGGAUCACAUAGAAACCAUCGACCGUUGACUGUGCCCCGAGGCUCGCCUCUCACGACGUCGGGGAACGAGAGCGAGAGAAAAUGAACAAAGGUGGCGUGUGGGCGCAUGCGAAACGCUGCAAGUGAAAGACACACACACACACACACACACACAAAAGUGACACUCUGUUUCCCCUGCACCCGAGGACCAAAGGUCACAAUCAACAUUCAUUGCUGUCGCUGGGUUGGACUGUGUAGAAAAGCUCACUGAACAAUGAGUGCAACUGUGGCCCCGAUCCGCCCGACUCGCAUCUCCGCCGAUUCGGACGACCGGACGUGAAACACGGAUUCCUUUAUUUAUAUACUUCUUGUUUUUCGCUUCUAUUUUCUCCUCUCUUCCUCCCUCCGCAGCGCUGGAUAGUCUUCAGGGGGUGAAAGACCGAGAGCGAGGGAGAGAGAGAGAGAGAGACACUAAUAGACUCCUGGCGGCUUGCAUGUCCUCAUCCUCCUCUCCUCUCCUCUAAUUGGUGGUUAUGUGUGCAGCAAGGGGGAAGGAAGCGCGCUGAAUGUGUAAUCAUUCUCCUUUAGAUGUUUCAUCCCUCUCUUUUUUGUUUGUCUAAUUACACACGGAGCUCGGUUAACUCUGUGUCAGCGGCGCUCGCGAGAAUGAGUGAGGACGAGGGGGGAAACCGAAAAAACCCCCAAAGAAAUCAAGUUUUUCAAGUAUAUUUAUUUAUUUAUUUUAAUAUCCUCCCUGUUGUUGCUGCAAAAAGCGCCGCGACACGAGCGAUUUGAAAAGCCAGAUUGUUUUUCUCGCCGCUCUGACUGUGGAUGUCUCAUUAUGUGUGUCGGAGGCGCUGUCUGGUUUCCCGCCUGUGUGCCCGUACGGCGCGAUAGAAGACCUGUCUCCUGAUCUCACCGUGCAAUAUGCUAUUCUCUUUUCUGUACCAAAGCGGCCCGCUCCCUUAUGGGGAAAUAUGAGUCGAUGACCUUGUCCUCCUCCAGACGCCAAACGGGGGACGGCCGUUUCUCACAGCACCCGUCCGUGUCCUCUAUCUGUGUCACAGGAAAAGUAUGACCGAAUUCAUUCAUUGAUUCAAUAAAGCUAAAUCAGAAUCCA